UCCAAUCUGUUAGUAAAUAAUAUAUUUUAAAAUAAUAUAUUUUAAAAUGUACUCUAAUAAUAUAUUUUUAAAUGUACUCUAAAUAAUUACUUUGGGUUAUAAUUUUAAUCCAUUUAAGAUUUUAAUUAUUUAAUAUUUUUCUAAUGUCAAGUGAGUAAAGAAUGAAUAAAACAGGGCAGUCUAUAAUGAUGUGAUAUGAUGAUUCUUGAUUCCUCAAUAUUCUUUCAUAUUUCUAUAAUUAUUUAUUGUAAUUAUUUUUUACUUUUCACACAUGAGUAAAUUAUUUUGUAUAAUUCAGCCUAAACUGAUCUAGAAUAUUAGCAUAAUCUAAAAUAAAAUGGAAAUUCUUAAAAAUUCUUCAUUAGAACCAGUUUAUAAUGUAUAACUUUAACAGUUUAGCAGCCUAAAGUACUAAGAAUACUUAAAAAAAUUUAUAUAAAAACAUUUCUCUACAAUUUCCCCAAAUAAUAAUAGUUUGUUGCAAAAACAAUUUUAAAACAGCAUAUAUGUAUACAAUUUUUAUUUUGUUGAAAGCAAAACCAUAAGUUGCUGUUUAAUUUUUAAUAAUCUCAUACACUGGGUUACUAUAGAAGUGAAGGUGGGAUAAAAUAUCUCAUCUUCUUUAACUCCCUCAAUCACCCUGAAGUAGUUGCUUCUAAUAAAUAAUAAAUACAUACAUCUUGUAAUUCCACUUUCACUUUAUAACUCAGAUUGUCUCUAUUGAAAUCAUGCUUAGAUUUCUUUGCUACUUUAUUUAAAUUCCCAACUCUUAAAAAUGAUUGUUUCAGUUAUUGAUAGAUGCUAAUGAACCAUCCCCAAAUUUGGGGCUCUAUAAUGAUUGAUUAUUUCUCAUGAUUCUGGGGGUUGGGAAGUGUCUUUCUUGCUUUCAGUUAGGCUGGGAGCAGGUCUUUACUAGAUGAGAUUGUGUGACUGGGCUUCUUUCUCUUUAUCUCUUAGGUCUUUUAUCCUUGGUUCUUCAUGGCAAGAUGGAUGCAGGGUGGUGUUGCAAAUGGGUAUAAAGUGAGGUUGUGAAACAUUGUCAUUAUUGGCCAAAGCAAGUUACAAUGAUAGGCCAGAAUCAAGGAGCAUGGAAAUAGAUUUUACUUAUUUGUGGGUAGAUCUGCAAAGAAACUGUGGCCAUAUUUAAUGUACUCUAGUAAACUAGCCUUUAUUUUGGCAAUAUUACGUCUUCACUUUUACUUUUCUUUAUAUCUGAAGGUUGAAAUCUCAAGGAUUCCCAUUGCUGCCAAACUAACUGUGUGAUAUUGGUUGGAAAGUAUAUCUAAGAAAACAAUUGAGAACACACAGAGAUUCCAGGGAUAUCCUUGUACAGAAGAGAGGCCAUGUGAGGACACAGGGAAGGCAGCCAUCUACAAGUCAAGAACAGAGGGCUCAGAAACCAUAACUGCUGACACCUUCAUCUUUGACUUCUCGUGUCCAGAACUAGACGUGGAUGGACCUACAGUCUGUCAUCCAGAGUGAAGUAAAGCCUAUGGAAUACAGGGGAGAAAAAAUCACACUGUUUGGAAGGAAUUCUUUGGUGAUUAGAACUGUUAUCCAAACUUCACUCCAGUGUAAAAGAAGCUUAAGAUCUAUCAGGAAUAAGACAAGUCUACAACUUCAAAGGACGGCAUGCAAACCUGAAUACCAAGUAAAAUGCACAAUUGGAAGGAAUGACCUUGGGAGAAUAAAGAAAUACCCGAUUUAUCUGUCAUUGUGGGUCAAGACAAGAAAUGCAACAAGACACUCCUUUCAAAGUCCCAGAAGAGUUCCUUCCCAAAUAAUUGAUAUCACACAACAAAAUAUGUUUUGCUAUAAUUGCUGCAAUAAUGUGAGCGAUAACUAUAGCAUAAAUAAAUAUGCAUCUAUUCAAUAUUUUAGGUUUAAAACAUUUUUGUAUGUAGAGCUAUUUUUUAAAGUGCAUUACUUAUUCCUUACUUGUAGCAGAAUAUUUUCUAAGUGAUUUAAAAUCAUCUUAUUCAAAUAUUAUAAGUUAAUUAGAUAGGCAAUAUUACCGUUAUUUUACAGAUGAGUAAAUUGAGUUUUAUGGAAUUGAAGUAAUUUCCAAAGGUCAGACAGGUAGUAAAUAGCACAGCCAAAAUUCAGAGUUCAUGACUCCAAAACCCAAGUACUUUGAUAAGAUUUAUUACGCUGAACACAUGUAUAGCAUAAUACAUCAUUGUAUACCACAAAGAAAUAGUCAUUUUCUAAAAAUCAUUAGGGAAGGAUGUGUUUCCUGUUCAAGAGGAAAAUUUUUAUUUUUAAUAAUAAAGUAUAGCUCACUCUCCUAGUUGUGUGGGUGUGUAUCAGGAAUAUUAACUCAUUUUUCUAAAAUGAAAUAAUUUAUUGAGAAUAACUAAUUAAAAGUAAAACCUUAGCAAAAUUAUAUAGAUGUAAAUUACACAUUAACCCAAACAUACUCUACAUACAGAAACUUAAAGAGGUAAUAAAUUUUUUUUUGUAUAAACACCUAGUUUCUUUGCAUUAAAGAUCAGAUAAUAAUGGCCAGUUAAUAGUCAUCUGUAUAAGUGUCUCUUGUUUUGGUUCUUUUUAAGUUCAGGUUCGUCUUCUCUGUGCUAUAUGGAAUCUUCUUUAACUACCCACCUCUUCCCUCAGAUACCAAUGUCUUUUAGAAUCCUUUGAUAUAGAUGCGAACAGUCCCUAAUCUUUACAUUUACAGAAGUCCACAUUUGCCUUUUAAUCUCAGUAUUGCUCUCUCGCAAUAUAGUCUUUGUAAAGCUGGUUGUCUAGCUUAGAAUAAAUUUUAUUUGUCCAGCUAUUCUCUGUGACCUAAAUGUUUGUCACUUUUCUAUUUUCUUUCUGUGCUCUGCAUUUUCUAUCAUCCUUCAAAGAGAAUGGUAUUAUCCUGUUUCAUCUAAAAGGAUGGUCAUCUGUGUUUUAGGACAUGAGCUGAAAACAAAUGCAUAAUGUAAUGGUCCUCUGAGAAAACUUGCACAUCUCCUUAUACCUUACCACACAUGUCCAGAGCAGCUCCAGGUGUUGGUUGCCAUCCCUCAUUAUUAAAGAACUAAUGUAUCAUGUACCUCCUAAAAUGGUGAUGCCCACUAGAGUCACAGAGUGUGAGUUAGCAUUAGGGGUGGUGCUCUAGUGCAGUGUAAGGAAAGGACCCUGAAAUAACUGACAUUUAUGAGUAACUGAUUCAUUAGAAAUCAUUUAAAGAAUCAAUAUUCAAUUAAAUCCAUGAAAUCUCUAGACUCUAAGGAAGCGCUGCCCAAUAGAGCUUCUUGUGAUGAUAAAUGUCCUGUAGUCUACUCUGUUCAUCUGGUAGACAGUAACCACUUGUGGAUUCAUGCAUGACUAAAGUGACUGAAGAAUUUUUAAUAUUAUUUAAUUUUAAUUAAUUAAAAUGUAAAUAACCACAUAUGGCUAUUGGCUAUGUUAUUGGACAGUGCAACAAUAAGGGAUCUUACAAGUUGCUUCAAUUAACUUUCAAUUUCAAGGAUUGAAAUCCUCUGAAGGAUUCUCAAUUAUAGAUAUGUAUGAGGUUAUUAAAAAUCUUUAUUAGAUAUGAUAUUUAUUCAUUUUCUUACAAUUACCACAGAGGUGGCCGUUGUACUUUUUCAAUGAUAUAAGAAAUAUUUUUUUCAACUCGUAUUACCAAAUAUGUGUUCCAUGAGAUAUUUAGUUUUGAAUAAAUGUCAGUGAAACUUUUCCUUCUAAAACACAUUGUAAUUUUUACACGUAAAAAAAAAACACUUUUUAUAUUUUUGUUAAUGGCAUAUGAAAACAGAAAAUAAAUUCACAAAACAAAUCAAUUUGAAAUAAUAAAUAUUGAUAUAUGCAUUAAUGCACUUUGUUAUUAGCUACGCUAUAGUUGUAUGCAAUUGCUAUCACUGAAAUUUAAUGUCUCUUGUCUUAUAUUCUUAGGAAUUAUACUUAUGAUAAUAGUCAAAGUAUAUUAUAUAGAGAUCAUAUGCAUCACGCAGAUUAAUUUUUCAUGACUCGAUGAAUAAAAAAAGAGAGUUGCCAAAGUGAGAGACAAACAUUUGGACCUUAAAUUGCAUUUUCAAAGGAAAUGUCAAUUAUAUCAACAUUUUUCUCUGUAGAAAUGUGAUACUAAUUGAUAGAUUGACAGGCAUCAGAGGUAGGGGAACCAAACACAACCAUUAUUAUCAUAAAAUUCUUUAAAGACAAUGGUUUAGGAGGGUUUAAUGGGGCUGUUAAUAUGUUCUACCUGUUGCUCCCUCUCUGAGCCAAUUUGUAAGAUCCCAUCCACUGGGAAGUUGAGAUCUGCAGUUUCUUUCUACUAGCCCAAGGGUAAGGCGAAGAAACAAAAAUAAAGUCACAAGGUAGAUGGCUUUUAAAUAGAGCAGGUCCACGGGCCCAGGAGAACGUGGACCCAAGUCUGUCGUCACUAAGCAGGUAACUCAUUCCUCCUUUUUGGGGAAAAUUGACUAAGCAAUAGGUACAAGGCCAGGGACAAUUACACUAAAGACAUCCUUGGACACAGGAAUAAAAGGAUGUUACGGGUUAAAUUGUGUCCCCCCCCCCCCAAUAUGUUGAAGUCCUAACUCCUAGUACCUCAGAAUUUAACCUUAUUUGGAAAGAGAAUCUUUACAGAGGUAAUCAAGUUAAAGUGUGGUCAUUAGGGUGGGCCCUAAUCGAAUGUGACUGGGUCCUUAUAAAAAUGGGAAAUCUGAACACAGAAAUAGACAUACACAGAGGGAAGACUACGUGAAAAGACAGAAUGCCACAUGAAGAUUCACGUUACGCUGCCACAAACCAAGGAAUCUCUGGGGCUGCCAGGAGCUGGAAGGGGCAAGGAAGGAUCCUUCCCUAGCACCUUCAGAGGGAGCACGGCACUGCCUACACCUUGAUAGUGGAUUUCUAGCCUCUUGAACUGUGAGACAAUGAAUUAUUUGUUACACAGAAGUCCACAAAAACUAAUAAAGAGGUCAAAGAGAACUUCCCUAGGACCAAAGUAAAAAAUCAUACUUUUUGAUUAGUAAACAAAACAUGACCUAAGCUGUUCAAGGUGCAAACAUUAAAGACUUUUGGCAGCACCUCAAUCAAACACAUAUUUCAAAUAAAUUUCACUCUGUAUUACUUUGAUCCUUCCCUUUGCUGUCAUGUUUUUAUGAAGCUUGAAAAAGGUCUUAAUGGAUGUAGUCUGCUCUCUUGCUUAUCCAUGACUUAACCGCUAUGAUUACAUGUUUACCCUUGGAAGUGCUCAAAGCGGUUAGCCUACCAGGAUGACAGAGACUAACUCAUGCUAUGCUUGGGGUAUUUCAGGUGCAGAAUUAUGCUAUUCUAGCCUGAGGAUAGUUUCUAGAGAGAUGUUUAGCAGAACAAAAGAUAUGUCUUCUACUUAUAAUAUCUCAUCAAAUCAAAGAACCAACAUGUAGAAAUGGAAGGAAUGAAAGGAAUUGUGGAGAUUUUAGCAGCCAUAUUCUCUAGUAUCUCAUAUUCUAAAUUAUAUUCUCUUGCCCCCAUGUGACUUUCUAUUACUGAACAAUUUCUUUAGCUCUCUUCACAGUUAAACUAAAAAGAAUAUUCGUCAGCACGUCCCCACCUUCAAACCUCCAAUUACCAUACAACCGAAUACAAUCUGGUCUAUGCCACCACCAUUCCAUCUAAUCUAUUUGUCAAAAUCACCAAUUAUUUCAAUACUGUCAAGAUUAGGUACUGGAGGAUCUAGUUCCCAAUUAAAUUUCCAACCUCAUUUCAUUCCAUCUUCUCUCUCACUCCUUCAAAUCAAAUACACUGGACUCCUCCUGUUUGUUUUCUCUAACAUACCAAAACCUUUUCUUCUCUCUCUCUCUCUAGAAUGGACAUUACAUGGAAGCUCUUUCUCAAACUUCAGAUUCAGCUUAUAUUUCAGUCACCACAGCGAGUCCUUCCUAAUCGCCAUAGAAAAAUGUAGACCUUUUUUUUUCCACCUUAUUUAUCAUUGUUCUUUAACCAAUUCCCUCAGUGUCUACCACAACCUGAAGUUAUAUUUUUGUUUUCUUAUUAGUAUUUUAUGACUUCUAUUAUAUUGUAACCCACACAAGUGCAGAACAUAUAUUCUUCCUAAAAACAAUAUAACCUUAGUUCUAAUUCCAUUGGAUGGUACAUGAUAUAGUAAUAAGUAUUUAAUAAAUAAAUGUACUUUUCUUCUAGCUGCCAUUAAUAUAUGUCAAUUUCAUCAACUGUCAUCCCUGCGUUGCUUAAUUACAAAUUUUAGAUUUACAUGGGAGAGAGUUCUAUCUAGUCUAUUAUCAAUCUGCAUGGUCAAAGGGGGCAAUUCACAUAAAGGGGAUAUGACCCUCCUUUAAUGCGUUAUUUUCUUCUGGGGAAGAGAGAAAUGCUCCUAGCUACAAUGCGUCCACAAUGAGGAUUUACAACAUAGGACCAAAUACACUUUGGACAUUUUCUACAAGAAAAGAUUAAAUAUAGGCAAUGACUUACUGUUGCCUUUAAAAAUGAGUAUCUGAUUGAACAGCACUUUUCUGAAUAUUAAGAACUAUAUGAUGGAUAGAAAUAAUAGCAUUGCUGAAAAGAUACUGUGUGUAUAUUUCAAUUUAGAAGUGCAAAAAAAAAGGUGACUGCCUUCACUUUCUAAAGCUUUGUGUCCUAUUGCUGGCUGUGCAGGUGGGAUUCAUGAGGGAUGGAGAAAAAUUACACAUUGAAUUUUACUAAGGAAAGGCCAUGAAAGAACGUAACUGAGAGCAAACAGGCUCAGCACACUGCUUAAUAGGAAACAGAACAGAAGCGCUUUCUGUUUGCAGGUUCCCUGUAGCUAACGGGGUUGGAGUUUCUGUCUUUUCCCUGGUGCCACCACCACUACACACACAGACUCAUGUCUAAGUUUAUGAGCACACAUGUGCCACAUUAUGAGGGACUCAGAGCAUCUGCUUCCAUUCUUUUUCCUCUAAAUCACUCCCUCCAUUCAUCAGCUGGAAGGAUUUUUCUGGCUUUCUCUAAGCUGGCGGAUAUUCCAUUACACAUCAUAUCCUGUAGUUUAAUGAUGACAUAAAUACAUGUAUAGCCACAGACAGAGGUAGAGGCAUAAGCAUGGUUCUAGGUGUCAGUAUGUAAUCAGAAAUGGUUUCAUUUCAAAUUCCUAUUUUUGAAAUAAAAAGCUUAUAUUCCCUGUUUCUAUAUCUGCAGUCCAAUGUUCCCUAAGCCAGAGGGCAUUUCUAGUUGAAUACGGAUACAAUAUGAAAAUAUGUAUAAAAUAUACAUGAAUAUACUUAA